ACACCCUCAAGCUCUGCUUGGUGUUGGGCGUCUGUCCCCGCCUCCGCGCGCGGACUCGCCUCAAAGCGAUUGGCGGCUGGUACCACGGCCUGGAGUGCAGCAGAAUUGCGCUCCUUGUCUCGGGGUCUGGCUCCCAUAAGCGAACUUUUUUCACUU
rnacentral:misc_RNA from 3 species